UACAGAGGUCUCAAGCGUUGUUCGGAAUCACUGGGCGUAAAGGGUGCGUAGGCGGCGUGGUAAGUCAGAUGUGAAAGGCAGGGGCUCAACCCCUGGAUUGCAUCCGAUACUGCCAUGCUAGAGUACUGGAGAGGUGUCUAGAAUUCUCGGUGUAGCAGUGAAAUGCGUAGAUAUCGAGAGGAAUACCAAUGGCGAAGGCAGGACACUGGACAGUAACUGACGCUGAGGCACGAAGGCUAGGGUAGCGAACGGG
rnacentral:rRNA from 1 species